AGCUGGUUUCUCAAAAAAAGAAUCUUAGUCCAACCUAAAGUUAUACAAAUUUACAUAAAUUUUCCCACUCACUUUAGAGCAAUUCAAAUGAGGUACAGCCCAUUUGAUACAGGAUCCAACCUUUACUAACGGGUAAUAUCUGACUCCACCCCCAAGUAGGCUUAAGAGCAGCCACCUUUUAAAAAGCGUCAAACCUUAACGUAUUAACACCAAUUCACAACCCCCCAUCAACCCCUUUCACCCUACUGAGAACUUCUAUAACAUUAUAGAACCUUUAAUGUUAAAACUAGUAACAAGAGAUACACCCUCUCUAUAAUGCAAACUCAAACCAGCAAGAACCUAUCACUGGUGAUUAACAGAAACAAAGUAGUAACUUUCUCAAGAAAACUCUACUCCCUCAACUGUUAACCUAACACAAGAGCAUCCCAAGAAAGAUUUAAAGAAAAAGAAGGAACUCGGCAAACAUAAAUCUCGCCUGUUUACCAAAAACAUCGCCUCUUGUCACCUAUAAGAGGUCCAGCCUGCCCAGUGACUCUUGUUCAACGGCCGCGGUAUCCUAACCGUGCGAAGGUAGCGUAAUCACUUGUCUUUUAAAUAAAGACUAGUAUGAAAGGCACCACGAAGAUUAAACUGUCUCCUCUCUCCAAUCAGUGAACCUAAUCUCCCCGUGAAAAAGCGGGAAUUUUUAUAUAAGACGAGA
rnacentral:rRNA from 1 species